GAUCAGCAGGAGAAAAAGGCAGACGCAAAGCUCAUUUGGAAGUGCAAUAGUUCACUAAGUUACAAAAUAAAUCUCUAGACAGAAUAAUGAUUCAAUAUUACACUCUAAAAAAUGCUGGGUUGGUUUUUUAACCCAAAUGCUGGGUUGAGACUGCUGGGUAACAAAAUUGGGUUGAUUCAACCCAAUUUGGGUUGAAAAUCGAUCUUUAUCUAUAACCCAGCAGUGCUGGGUUGGGAACGCGGACGUGAAAGAGAGCACGCACGUCACGUCAACAUGCAGGGACAUCAACGUGAGAAACCGCCAUUUUCUUUGCGCUGUCUUUGAGGGGAAGCGAGUGAAAUUCUGUGUGAGACGUAAGUUAUUUAGUGUGUUUUUAACAAUUUUCAUAAGAAAUAACACACUUAGUUUACUUAGUAUAAUAUACACGCGCUUUUUUUUCUGUUUCUCCGCCUGAUGGCCGACUUGUUGCUCCGCCUCACGCUGACCUGUGCUCGCCUUAUGGCUGAACUGUUGCUCCGAGUCCGCCUGACGAGCCACCUGUUUGUCCGGAUCUGUUUCUCCGCCUAACGGCGACGUGUUUCUCCGGACCUGUUUCUCCGGACCUGUUUCUCCGCCUAACGGCGACCUGUUUCUCCGGACCUGUUUCUCCGCCUAACGCCCGAGCUGUUGCUCCGCCUAACUCCUGACCUGUGCUCGCCUCACGCCCGACAUGUUGCUCCACCUCACGCCCAGCCUGUUGAUCGGUGGACGGGUAAGCGCGCAUGGCAUCGGAAGGAGCUCGAAAAGUAUAAGGUGAUGACAAUGGAUAAUUGCGUGAAAAUCAAACUAAAAGAAUGCAAUCU